AACCUUUGCACUCGCGUGUCACGUCCUUUGCGACGUCUCGCGCAUGACACGGCAUUUGAAUUUGGAAAAGAAACACAAAACUGACGGGAGCCGCUCCGGUGGAGAACAGUGACUGGAUCUAACACCUUCAGAUGACACACAGUUCACAUCUCUGCGCAGAUGAACCAAAAGAACUCGGGUCCCGGUGAACUCCAGCACUCCCCUGACAGUUCAUACAGCCUCCCUGCUCCAAGUGUGUCUCAAAGUUCACUGCAAGUGCACCAAAAAUAGAAACGUUAAUGACGCUGACGUUCCCCUCCAUCCUCCCCACCACCACCAGGUUGGCCCUGUCCAUCCAUCAGGGGUAGGCUCCGCCCCUGCCUUUAUCUUCAGGCAGGAUCAGCCAAAUCUGCAUCCCCAGGAUUCGGACGAAGGACGGGGCCUAUGCCAAAGAACUUUUCCGUACAACUAAACAUGAAACAUUGUACCAUGUUUAAUUGUACCAUCUGUCACUACCAUCUGUUUAUACUUUAUGGAAUAAAUACCAUGUAAACGUU